AUUGAACGCUGGCGGCAUGCUUUACACAUGCAAGUCGAACGGUAACAGGCCGCAAGGUGCUGACGAGUGGCGAACGGGUGAGUAAUGCAUCGGAACGUGCCCAAUCGUGGGGGAUAACGCAGCGAAAGCUGUGCUAAUACCGCAUACGAUCUGUGGACGAAAGCGGGGGACUCGCAAGGGCCUCGCGCGAUUGGAGCGGCCGAUGUCAGAUUAGGUAGUUGGUGAGGUGAAGGCUCACCAAGCCAACGAUCUGUAGCUGGUCUGAGAGGACGACCAGCCACACUGGGACUGAGACACGGCCCAGACUCCUACGGGAGGCAGCAGUGGGGAAUUUUGGACAAUGGGGGCAACCCUGAUCCAGCAAUGCCGCGUGCAGGAAGAAGGCCUUCGGGUUGUAAACUGCUUUUGUACGGAACGAAACGGUCUGGGUUAAUACCCUGGGCUAAUGACGGUACCGUAAGAAUAAGCACCGGCUAACUACGUGCCAGCCGCCGCGGUAA
rnacentral:rRNA from 1 species